rnacentral:rRNA from 1 species
AACGAACGCUGGCGGCAUGCCUAACACAUGCAAGUCGAACGAGACCUUCGGGUCUAGUGGCGAACGGGUUCGUAACGCGUGGGAACCUGCCCUUAGGUUCGGAAUAACUCCCCGAAAGGGGUGCUAAUACCGGAUAAUGUCUUCGGACCAAAGAUUUAUCGCCUUUGGAUGGGCCCGCGUUGGAUUAGCUAGUUGGUAGGGUAAAAGCCUACCAAGGCGACGAUCCAUAGCUGGUCUGAGAGGAUGAUCAGCCACACUGGGACUGUGACACGGCCCAUACUCCUAGGGAUAGCAGUAGUGGGGUAUAUUGGACAGGGGGCGAAAACCUGAUCCAGCAAUGCCGCGUGAGUGAUGAAGGCCUUAGGGUUGUUAAGCUCUUUUACCCGGGAUGAUAAUGACAUUACCGGGAGAAUAAGCUCCGGCUAACUCCGUG